AAUGCUUUGUCUUUUUUUUUUUUAAACUUAAAACCGAAUUCGGAUCCUCCACUAAACCGGGUCACCCGCACAUGACCUCCGUUAAUGGCGUCCACUGGUCCUCCUCAUUGACUCCUCCAUUCACAAGUCGUGAUCUCGUUAUCCGCCGCCAUUGGUGCCUGUGAAAUUGAACAGCUGGAUCUCGAUCUUGUUACAAUUUCGAAACUCGUGGUGUUUUUGAAAUGGUGAGAGAAGACGUUGACUGAGUUGAGAAUUUGAAUGAUGAAGCGGAAGGUUUUGUUACGGCAUAAAUGGAAGACGAAGGUGUUUGUGGUGGUUUUUGUUAAUGGAGGCACAGUACAGGAGGAUUGGUGCGUCUUCUAUGCUUGCUCAGAAACCUAAAAUUGCUUUCUUAUUUCUAGCAGGGAAUCGGCUUCCGCUAGACCUUGUUUGGGAUCAAUUCUUUCAGGGAGAGAAUGAAAAUCGGUUUUCAAUAUACUUCAAGGCCUGCUUAACAGGUAGAUCUAAAUAUUUUUUGGACCGUCAAGUUAAUAAUAAUAGCAUACAGUUGUAGUAGAUAUAUUGGGGAGAAGCAAGUAUGAUACAGGCAGAGAUUAUUUUGCUUCAACACGCACUUUAAUGAACGAUUUGCUUUCCUUUCCUUUCCUUUCAGACAGGUGUCAUUUACUAUACUUUUAAAAGGUUAUAACUUUUAUUGAUUGAUUAGCCUAUCGAUUAUACUUGUUUUCCAGCUGUACAACUUUAGCUACACAUACGAUUACAUAAUGUCAGCAUCAUCAACUAGCUUUGUGGACAGUUAAGCUUUCAGCUACUUUUUGUUGGUUAGGUUACAUACAUAGAUGUC